rnacentral:rRNA from 1 species
AUGGCCAACAUCUUCCUCUGUUUCCUUCUGCUAUCAUCGCUCAUCGCUUCGCCUCUGGAGUCCGCAAGGAUCGUCCACGAACACCGCGCCCACAUCGUUGCAGGUGAGGAGAUGCCUGAUCGCCAUCUACCCGACGUGUUUGGGGAAAUCAAGAGGGCGCAGCCCCGCCAAUUCGCGCCGCCGUCGCCACAAGCGAACGAGCAACGCUACCCCCCGAUCUGGCAUGGUGGAUCCCCCUCUGUCUAA